rnacentral:rRNA from 1 species
GAUGAACGCUGACGGCGUGCCUAAUACAUGCAAGUCCAGCGAAUGGAUUAAGAGCUUGCUCUUAUGAAGUUAGCGGCGGACGGGUGAGUAACACGUGGGUAACCUGCCCAUAAGACUGGGAUAACUCCGGGAAACCGGGGCUAAUACCGGAUAAUAUUUUGAACUGCAUGGUUCAAAAUUGAAAGGCGGCUUCGGCUGUCACUUAUGGAUGGACCCGCGUCGCAUUAGCUAGUUGGUGAGGUAACGGCUCACCAAGGCAACGAUGCGUAGCCGACCUGAGAGGGUGGUCGGCCACACUGGGACUGAGACACGGCCCAGACUCCUACGGGAGGUAGCAGUAGGGAAUCUUCCGCAAUGGACGAAAGUCUGACGGAGCAACGCCGCGUGAGUGAUGAAGGCUUACGGGUCGUAAAACUCUGUUGUUAGGGAAGAACAAGUGCUAGUUGAAUAAGCUGGCACCUUGACGGUACCUAACCAGAAAGCCACGGCUAACUACGUGCCAGCCGCCGCGGUAA